rnacentral:rRNA from 1 species
GGUGAACGCUGGCGGCGUGCUUAACACAUGCAAGUCGAACGGAAAGGCCCUGCUUGCAUGGUACUCGAGUGGCGAACGGGUGAGUAACACGUGGGUGAUCUGCCCUGUACUUUGUGAUAAGCCUGGAAAACGGGGUCUAAUAGCGAAUAUGACAAUUGUUUGAAUGCGAUUGUGGAAAGCUUUUGCGGUAUGGGAUGAGCUCGCGGCCUAUAAGCGUGUUGGUGGGGUAAUGGCCUACCAAGGCGUCGACGGGUAGCAGGCCUGAGAGGGUGUACGGCCACAUUGGGCCUGAGAUACGGCCCAGACUCCGACGGGAGGCAGAAGUGGGGAAUAUUGCACCCUGGGAGACAGCCUGAUGCAGCGACGCCGUGUGGGGGAUGACGGCCUUCGGGUUGUAAAAUCCUUUCGCAACCGACGAAGCCUUUUGGUGACGGUAGGUAGAGAAGAAGCACCGGCUAACUACGUG